CGCCGUCCUCCCCAGCCCAGAUUCCCGCGAUCUGUGCGGCUGCUUCGUAAGCAUCCCUUGGAUGCCAGCCUGAGUGGACAUCUUCCGCGUCCCUGCCGCUUAGCUGCUGCCGCUUGCACGGCUGGGAGAGGAAGGGGAAGGAAGGAAGGAAGGACGGAGGCCUGGUAGUGGCUCUCUUAUGUGAGCUACAUGCUGGUUCUAGACUCAGGACUGAGGGUUGUGGAGAUCGAGCCGUGCGGCCAAGAUUUCAGGGCUGACUCAUCUCAGCGUCUGACUUCAAAAACAAGCCCCGGUCUGCUGGCUUGCCUCCUGGAGGGGACACCAGUCCCCCUGUCCAUCCGCUUCCCAGAUUAUGGAGGCUGAUGUGCACAUUGGGUAACGCAGUGGAAAAGAGAUGGAGAGACCGAGGUACAGAGAACUCAAGUGAUGGAAACCUUCGUUACUUUGAAACUCAAGGAACUUGAGUAACGAAACUUUGAAUCCACCAGGGAAUGGCCAAGGUGCACGGUCACUCCCAGCUCCCAGCUGCGUGGGACAGUGAGUUGAAGGCGAGGCUCAGAGAAGAUUCAGACGGUGGCGAAGGGUCUGGGAAGCAUGGCUGGGUGAGAACCAGGAGCAGAGUGUGUCCAUGGCCUCGGGUGUGAUUCUUCCGUGUGUGCGCACCUGUCCUGUGUGCUCUGGGGGGUGGCUGGCCUCCUCCUCCUGCCCUGGAACUCCCUGCUCCAGCUGUGAUGCCAGAAGAAGUCUGUGGACACUGUCCCCUGCCGGUAGAUGCUCCCCCAGUGGAGAGGGGCUGGGUCAGAGGAGGUGGGAUGUUCAGCACGAAGCAGAGCCUUUAAUCACAGAGUCUGCACAGAUGCGGGGCUCUCCCACCGAUGCACAGGGUCAGCUGCUCUCAUUCUCCACUGGGAGCCAAAGAAUUUCUGCCCAGGGUAGGGGACGCGGACAAGACCUCGCUGAUUAGAUUCUCGGGAGGCUUGCCAGGGGACUGAUGUGGGUUACUGGGAAGGAAUGCAUUCCCGCCCCAGAGGGUCUUUAGAACGACAGGAGCGCCUCGUUUCCAGGGCCAUUCUGGGCAGUCAUGCCCUUGAGCGCAUGGGCGGGGAGCCCCUCAGCCUGUCCUCUUCUCUGGCAGGUUACAGGCCUUCCCAGGCAACGCUUCAAACCAGCACCACCCACUCAUCCGAACAGACAUCAGGGCGUGUGAAUGGUUCCCGCUAUUGGCGAUCAGGAACAAGACAGGAGCCGCAGAAGAGUCCUUCAGUGAUUUCUUGUGCAGGCUCAUCUUAAGGGACUUGGAAGGCGUCUGAUGAGUCCUGCGACCCACCGGAUAUUCUCUUACUCUCAAUUAUCGAUUCGCUCUGCAUGGUAGGAAGAAGUACUGGUGCUUUUUACCAACCAUGGGGUGAGAGUGGGGUCCGUCCGCGUGAAAGGGGGGCUUGGCUUCCUAGGAAAGGAGCGAGGAGGUAAAGAAAGACAUUGCUUGUUGCCUUUUGAACUUAUUUACGCUCUCCCCUCGUUCUGGGAAGACUGAAGGCUGAAUCCUGCAGCAGGACCACAGCCGUAAGCUCUCAAAUCUCCAGGAAUAUUAGUUACUUAGUAAUACCCACGGGAAAGAAUUCCUGAAGCCGGAACCAGACAAGGGGGUCACGUUCUGGAAGCACCGUGCUCUGCAUGUUCUGUGUAGGACAACGGUGCUGUGUCUUUCUUACGUCAUAACAGCUCGUUCAUUGAAGUGUGUGAACUAGUCAGACAUCCUACGUGGUUCUGAAGAAUUAUUUUCAUUCUUCCAUCAGACCUUCCUGAUGUGAGUUGACCCUGCAGUAAAGUAAUUAAUCAACGUAUCAACAUAUGCUACAAUUGAGAGAAAAAUUCCAAUUCUUUACAAUGCUUUUCUAUCAUCUUUUAGACCCUUCACAAUCUAUUUUAACAUGGUCAUUUUAAUCCCCAAAGUAUAUUAUUAUACCAUCCAGUUGAAAUUUAAGAUUUUUUUUUUUUUGCAAUGCACAUUCAUUGUUGCCUCGAUCCAUCACCAUUACGGGAUUCUACCCGAGCCAUGAGCAGUCAGGGCAGCAGAACGGAGCAGGGAGUGCAAUCUGCUGAAGCGGAGGGAAGCGCUGGGCUCCGUUAGUGAAGCCACACUCCCCGCAUUUCCACUCAGAAGAUGUGAAAGUACAGAAGGUUCUGGUGAGGCAGCAGACCAGGCAAAGUCAGAAAUGGAAAGGCACUCAGCCUGGAGUGAAUCACCACACACAACGAAAAAAUAGAAACGCCCACAGAUUUUGUUGUGGGAAGGGAAAAAUGAAACUUCCUGUAUUUUACAGUAGAGAGCAUGAGGAGAUGCCGGAAACCGCAGGAAGUUCCCUUAAUGGGCUUGCAGGGUCUUUGGACCUCGGGCCUGGACACACAAUUCUAAGAGGUUACCUCGUUGAGAUAAACCAUUUACACCAGUAACUUUGUUUCUUUUUCUUACAAGUAGAAAUACUUGUUCUCUGGGGAAGAUACUGAUGAACAAAAAGCUCACCAUCCAAAAGCAGUUCCUUUAGAAGUGUUACUUAAAAGCUUUAUUGAGCCCUGGCUGGGUGUAGCUCAGUGGAUUGAGUGUGGGCCUGUGAACCAAACCAUCGAUCAGAUUUCGGUUUGAUUCCCAGUCAGGACACAUGCCUGGGUUGCAGGCCAAUUCCCAGUGGGGGAUGCAUGAAAUGCAACCACACAUUGAUGUUUCUCUCCCUCUCUCCUUCCCUUCCCCUCUAAAGAUAAAUAAGUAGAAUCUUUAAAAAAGUAAAUAGUAAAAGCUUUAUUGAGUUCCACACACCAUGCAAUUUGCCCAUUUUAAGUGUACAGUUCAGUGUUUUUUAGUAUUCAGUAUUUGCUGGGUUGCACAACACCAUCACCGCAGUGCCAUUCGGAACAUUUUGCCC